rnacentral:rRNA from 1 species
GUACACGCUGUGACUAGCAUAUCAAUAAGCGGAGGAAAAGAAACUAACAAGGAUUCCCUCAGUAACGGCGAGUGAAGCGGGAAGAGCUCAAAUUUGAAAUCUUCAAGGUUUUACCUUGACGAAUUGUAGUUUAAAGAAGUGUUUUCUGCUGAAGUUUUGGUAAAAGUUCUUUGGAAUAGGACAUCAUAGAGGGUGAGAAUCCCGUAUUUGACCAUUAUUUUCAGCUUUGUGAUACACUUUCAAAGAGUCGGAUUGUUUGGGAAUGCAGUCCAAAAUGGGUGGUAAAUUUCAUCUAAAGCUAAAUAUUGGCGAGAGACCGAUAGCGAACAAGUACCGUGAGGGAAAGAUGAAAAGAACUUUGAAAAGAGAGUUAAACAGUACGUGAAAUUGUCAAAAGGGAAGCGUUUGACACCAGUGUUGCUUUCUCGAAAAUCAAUUAAAAAUGGCCCGAUUUUGUAUUGCUGAGACCUUAAAAGCUCACUGUACAUUUUUCGUGUCUUUUUUAAUGCACUUUUCGUUUAACAAGUCUACAUCAGUUUCUUUUGUUGUAAAAGGGUCAUUGGAAGGUGGCUUUCUUUUCGGAGGAAGUGUUUAUAGCCUUUGGCCUCUGCAAUCGAAGAGACUGAGGUCUGCAGCGUAGACUCUUCGGGGUUAGAUACAUUUGUGCUAAGUUAUAGCUUUUUAUAGACAACUUGUUGACUAUAAUUAGUCUUGUAGCUUACUCGCUUAUGCUAUUUUACCUACGCUUAGGAUGUUGAGUAGCGACAUACGCAC